CAUCACCGCGGUGCAAAUUCAUGGAUAGCUGACAAGCUGCCCCUGCGCUUCGUGUUCGAGCCGUUUCUACUCUUGGGCAGUCUCCAACUGCACUAACGCCAGCCCCUGUAAAAAGCUUUUAAGGAUUCAUUCGGUGACGCAUUCAGCAUGGAUUCUUCCACUCGAUACUACAAAGCUUUGAAAGACGGAUGAUCCGCUGCGUCUUGAUGCAGCUUUAUAUGGU
rnacentral:lncRNA from 1 species